AACGAACGCUGGCGGCAUGCCUAAUACAUGCAAGUCGAACGAGAUCUUCGGAUCUAGUGGCGCACGGGUGCGUAACGCGUGGGAAUCUGCCCUUGAGUUCGGAAUAACUUCUGGAAACGGAAGCUAAUACCGGAUGAUGACGUAAGUCCAAAGAUUUAUCGCCCAAGGAUGAGCCCGCGUAGGAUUAGGUAGUUGGUGAGGUAAAGGCUCACCAAGCCGACGAUCCUUAGCUGGUCUGAGAGGAUGAUCAGCCACACUGGGACUGAGACACGGCCCAGACUCCUACGGGAGGCAGCAGUAGGGAAUAUUGGACAAUGGGCGAAAGCCUGAUCCAGCAAUGCCGCGUGAGUGAUGAAGGCCUUAGGGUUGUAAAGCUCUUUUACCCGGGAUGAUAAUGACAGUACCGGGAGAAUAAGCUCCGGCUAACUCCGUG
rnacentral:rRNA from 1 species